UAGGGAAUCUUCCACAAUGGGCGCAAGCCUGAUGGAGCAACACCGCGUGAGUGAAGAAGGGUUUCGGCUCGUAAAGCUCUGUUGUUAAAGAAGAACACGUAUGAGAGUAACUGUUCAUACGUUGACGGUAUUUAACCAGAAAGUCACGGCUAACUACGUGCCAGCAGCCGCGGUAAUACGUAGGUGGCAAGCGUUAUCCGGAUUUAUUGGGCGUAAAGAGAGUGCAGGCGGUUUUCUAAGUCUGAUGUGAAAGCCUUCGGCUUAACCGGAGAAGUGCAUCGGAAACUGGAUAACUUGAGUGCAGAAGAGGGUAGUGGAACUCCAUGUGUAGCGGUGGAAUGCGUAGAUAUAUGGAAGAACACCAGUGGCGAAGGCGGCUACCUGGUCUGCAACUGACGCCGAGACUCGAAAGCAUGGGUAGCGAACAGGAUUAGAUACCCUGGUAGUCCAUGCCGUAAACGAUGAGUGCUAGGUGUUGGAGGGUUUCCGCCCUUCAGUGCCGGAGCUAACGCAUUAAGCACUCCGCCUGGGGAGUACGACCGCAAGGUUG
rnacentral:rRNA from 1 species